UGAUCAUGAAUGGAUGUUGAAUUUUGUCAGAUGCUUUUUCUGCAUGUAUUGAGAUGAGCAUAUAAUUUUUAUCUUUCAAUUUAAUAAUGUGGUGUAUCACAUUGAUUUGUGGAUAUUGAACCAUCCAUGAAUCCCCCCAAGUAAACCCCAUUUGAUUAUGGUGAAUGAUCCCUUUAAUGUAUUAUUGAAUAUACUUUGCUAAUGUUUUGUUGAGGAUUUUUGAAUUCAUGUGUUCAUGGUCUGUCAUUUACUUCCUUCUUCAUCCUUGUCCUCCUCCUCAUCUUCCUUGUCCUCAUCGUCAUCCUUGUCCUCCUCCUCCUCCUUCUCCUUAUCCUCCUCCUCUUCCUCCUCCUCCUCUCCUCCUCUCCUCCUCCUCCUCCUCCUCCUCCUCCUCAUCGUCCUCUUCCUCAUCCUCCUCAUCCUCCUCAUCCUCGUCCUCCUCCUUGUCGUCAUCCUCCUCCUCGUCGUCAUCCUCCUCCUCCUCCUCGUCGUCAUCCUCCUCCUUGUCGUCAUCCUCCUCCUCGUCGUCAUCCUCCUCCUCCUCGUCAUCCUCCUCCUCCUCGUCAUCCUCCUCCUCCUCGUCAUCCUCCUCCUCGUCCUCCUACUCCUCGUCCUCCUACUCCUUGUCCUCAUCCUCUCCGUCCUCCCCAUCCUCCUCCCUGUCCUCCCCGUCCUCCUCCCCGUCCUCCUCCCCAUCCUCCUCCUCGUCCUCUCCGUCCUCCUCCCUGUCCUCCUCCUCGUCCUCCUCAUCAUCCUCCUCAUCCUCCUCAUCCUCCUCCUCCUCCUCCGCCUCCUCCUCGUCCUCCUCCUUGUCGUCAUCCUCCUCCUCCUCCUCAUCCUCGUCCUCCUCCUCCUCCUCCUCCUCCUCCUCCUCCUCCUCAUCCUCGUCCUCCUCAUCGUCGUCAUCCUCCUCCUCCUCCUCGUCGUCAUCCUCCUCCUCUCCUCCUCCUUCUCCUCCUCCUCCUUCUCCUUCUCCUCCUCCUCCUCCGCCUCCUCCUCCUCCUCCGCCUUCUCCUCCUCCUCCUCCUCCGCCUCCUCCUCCUCAUCCUCCUCCUCCUCCUCCUCCUCCUCAUCCUCCUCCUCCUCUCCUCCUCCUCCUCCUCCUCAUCCUCCUCCUCCUCCUCCUCCUCCGCCUCCUCCUCCUCCUUUCCUCCUCCUCCUCCUUCUCCUCCUCCUCCUCCUCCUCCUUCCUCCUCCUCCUCCUCCUCCGCCUC
rnacentral:lncRNA from 1 species